ACGGGUAGGAAUCUGCCCGGCAGGGGGGGACUACUUAGGGAAACUGAUGCUAAUACCGCAUACGCCCUUCCGGGGAAAUGGGGGGACCUUCGGGACUCCCGUUAUAGGAGGAGCCUGCUUUGGAUUAGCUGGUCCGCCUGGUAAAGGCCUACCAAGGCGACGAUCCAUAGCUGGUCUGAGAGGACGAUCAGCCACACUGGGACUGAGACACGGGCCAGACUCCUACGCUUCCUCCGAGUGGGGAAUAUUGGACAAUGGGCGCAAGCCUGAUCCACUCAUAGCGCGCGUGUGAAGAAGGCCUGAGGGUUGGAAAGAACUUUCCAUUGGUAGGAAAAAGGCAAGCCCAAUACGCUUGCCCUUGACAUUACCUUUAUAAGAAGGACACCUUAACUCCGUGUCACCCUUCUACUGACUACAUGGGGUGCCAGCGUUAAUCGGAAUUACUGGCCGUAAAUUGUGCGUAUGCUCCUGUUAAGGCGCAUGUGACAGCCCUGUGCUCAGCCUGUCAACCUUGUUUGAAACUGGCCAGCUAGAGAUACUUAGAGGGGAGUGUGAUUCCCCGUGUAGCGGUGAAAUGCGCUUAUAUCCGGAGAACACCAGUGGCGAUAGCGGCUCCCUGG
rnacentral:rRNA from 1 species